rnacentral:tRNA from 1 species
GUAGCCCUUGGGACCACAAUCAGCGGACUCAUUAUCCGUAGGUCGCAGGUUCGAGUCCUGCCGGGCCCA